UAAAUGGAAUAUGUAAAAGUUGAAAGCUCUGGGAUUGGGGUGGAUAUAAUUAUUCCAUUGUAGGAAAUGACAGUGUCCGAGGUAGGAUAAUAGUUUUCUUGUAUGGAAAUUAAAGCAAAUAUGGUGGUUUUGGGUAAGAUACCAGAAAAAACAAAGAGCUUCUAUAGGCAUAUUAUAAUAAUGUCUUGUCUGAAAUAAAGAUAAAAAAGGAUAUGUAGGAUGGCCUCGAAUUCCUAGAAAACAUUCUCCAUGAUUUCUGAUUAAUAUUUCAUGCAUUUUUUGUUGCAUAAUCUCAUUUCUUGCUUCCAUUGUCUUGGUGAGUAUGAUGUCAAAUAUUUCAUCAGGAACAUCUUUGGAUUCAUCUUUUAUUCUAAUUAUUGGUCCUAAUAACGGAACAACUUGAAGAACAGUAUCUUCAAAAAAUUUCUUUCGAGAAAAUAUAUUAGCUAAGAUAAUUUUCUUUCCAGGAAUAUGUUUAUACUCAAAAUUCCAUUGAGAAAACCAACUUGCCCAUCUGAGCAAUUGUGGAUUUGGAAGAAUCUUAUUUUUGAACUUGAACAUAUUUGGAAAAGCUGACAAAUCCAUCUCUUCUAGAAAAGAAUGUCCUAUUAGAUGAAAUUGGAAUGUUUCAAUUCCUCUUUUUACUGCAAGGAUUUCUUUAAAUGUAGAAUGGUAAUGAAGUUUAGAUUCUUUGAAUUUUCCACUUUUAUAUCCGCAAAUUAUCCUUUCUUUUUAUUUUUCUUCAAGCAAAAUAAAUGCCCAAAAUUCAUCUGAUGCAACUGUUUGCAAAAUUCGUUUUCCUGUAGAUGGGAUUUUCAAAGAAGGUAAAUUUUGAGAUAGUUUUUUGAGCUCUAGAACACACUCAGUCUGUUUCCUUGUCCAUGGUGGUGUUUUUUUCUUUAGUAAAAGAUAGAGUGGACUAGUAAAGAGAGAAAGCUUAGGAAAAAAAGGGGACAUAUAAUUUACAAUUCCUAGAAAUUGCUGGAUCUGUUUUACAAAAGAUAAGAUAUCUGGAAAGUCUAGUAGGUGUGUUGCUAUAUGAGGCUGAAGUUUAUACAUUCCAUUAUGGAAAUGCAUACCAAGAAAAUCAAUUUCAGUUGUAGCAAAGACACAUUUCUUUUCAGAGAGCAUAAUUCCAUAUUUACAGCAGAGGGAAUGGAAUUUUUCUAACAGAAGUAUAUGACUAUCAAGAUUAGGGGAGAAGAGGAGUAUAUCAUCUAUGUAUAUCAGCGCUUGUGUUGAGAUUGGUUCAAAAAUGUUACUUGAGACUUUGGAAAUAUGUGGGUGCAUUUUUCAAACCAAAAGGCAUGACUGUCCAUUGAAAAUGAUAAUUUGGUAAACAAAAAGUUGUUUUAGGACGAUCAUCUGAAUGAAUGCCUAUUUGCCAAAAUCCAGAUUUUAAAUCAAAUUUAGAAAAUAUGUGCGCUUAAGAAAUCUGAGAGAAUAGUGCAAUUUGAUUUGGAAGAGGGAAUUUAUCAUCUGCAAGGAAAGCAUUCAAGGAUUGGUAAUUGAUCACUAAUCUAAGUUUUCCUCGAAUUUGUUCUACUUUUUUAUUAACAUAAAAGGCUUCACAAGCCCAAGGAGAACGAGUAGGCUCAAUUUACAGUUCCUUUAUCAAAUCUUGCAUUUCUAGUUUAGCUUGUUCCAAAAGAUCUGGAUUUAAACCUCUGUGUGAAGCCUUUGUGGGAUUUAUGUCCACAUUUUUCUUAAAAGGCAAUUUAACAUAAAAAUUCUGGUUUCUCCGAAGUGGGUUGGUACAUUUUUUGAGAAACUCGGAGUGAGAAUUGGCACAGCAGUCUGACAAGAUUUUCUGUUGAAUGGUUUCCAGAGAGUGAGAUUGAUCUAUACAAGCUAUCCAAGGUAGGGUUAGGUUCCUAUAAUGUAGUCCUUUGGAGGUCCAUUGAAGUUUUACUUGGUGUAAAACAUCAAAUCCAAGUAAAAGUUCUUUAUUGGGUAAAUAGGAUCCUAAUAGUUUGUGUUGGAUAACUAGUUUUGGAAAAAGUUCUAUCAAAAUGGGUUUGCUAAUCUGGUUUAUGGUAAAUUUCUCUCCAUUAGCAGCCCGAAAAGUUUGGUUACAUGUUUCCCAAAACUGUUUCGGUAGUAAAUCAAGUUUUAAGAUACUAGCUGAUGCUCCUGUAUCAAAAAAUACUGGUAUGGUCAAGGGUUUUGAAUAGUAUUCUUGUAAUAUUUGGACCAAGGCUAUUGAGCUAGGCUGGAUGGGUACACUAUUUAUGUUGGCAAUAUUUUCCUGUGGGCACAAUAUCUCAGAGUCUUGUGUGUUGCUUAUCUCAUUUACUUCAUUGUCUUCCGAAUAUGCAAUGGAUAAUAUGUUUCAGGAUUCUAGAUCAUCAUCAAUUUCUUCAUCUAAACUUGUGACAGGAGGUGGAUUAUCUUUUUUUCCUUUUGUGAUUAGGACAAUCUUUUGGAAAAUGCCCUUUUUUGCAACAGACAUAACAUCUGUCUCCUUUUCUUGUGUCUGAAACCUCGAAAUCUUGACCUUCUAAGAUAUUUGAACCUUUUAAAUUUCUUCUUUCUCCUUCUCUAUUAAGGCUUCUUGUAUCCUUUUGAAGUAAUUGGACAUGCACACUGUUUUUCUUAAUCACAUUUGAUCUUGAGAUAUGGCUUAUCGCAAGAUUUUCCCAAUAAAUACUUAUUUUUUCCAUUUGUUUUACAAAUUCGACCUGAUUGCACAAUCUUUUUAAACCAUGGAGAACAAAUUGAUAUAAUUCACCAAAACUGGUGUUUUGAAUAGUAAGUCCUUGAUUUUUCAUUGUUUUUGUGGCUUCUUUGCCAAGCGUAGGAGGUAUAGAUUCAUUAUAAAAUUGUUUUAAAUUUACAUCAUUAGUUCCUCCUAUCCUAUGGUACCUCUUAUUCAUCUCUGAAAAAUGAUUUUCAAGAUCUUGUCUCUUGAAAGAACAAUUAAGCUGAAAAAAUUCUUCUCUUGCAGCUAUUUGUUCAUGUAUCACUGGGCCUGAGAAUUCAGAGACUAAAUAAUUAAGAAAUUCAACAAUAGACUGACUAUUCCUCAACUGUGUUUGCCAGUAUUCUCCAAGGCUUAUAUACCAAUCAAAAAGGCGUCCUCUUAGUCUUUUAAUAACUUUCGAAAUUCUACGGCUAGAGUAUUAGCUGGAUUGAGCAUUUCUGAAUGCAUCCAUCCUUGGAUUUCUCUGAAUCUGUCAUUCCAUCGUGAUGGUGGAAUGUCAUCAAUUGUAAAGCCCUUAGAUGAGUCACCAUAGGUAAGGAUAGUUUGGGGUUCAUGGUGGUCAGGAGGUCAGAGAUCUUCUUCCAUAACUGGGUCAGGUUCAUGAGGAGGUUCUGGAGGAUUCAUCAUCAAUAAAUUCUCCGAAUCCAUGGAAGAAGAUUUAUCUUCAAUAAAUGUUUCAGAUGUAUCAGUAAUAUCAUCAGAAGAUUGGGUUUCAUUUGGAAGAUUAACUUCAGGCUGGUUUGUCAAGUUUUUGAGAAACGAACUCAUAUCAUUUUGAGAGGAGAUAUUUAUUUGAGCUGGGACAGAAGAGGCUACAACAUCUGAUUCAGUAUCCGAAUAUUCAAACAUUUGGGUUUCUUGUUUUGGUACUUGGGAAUCAGUAGGAGGUUGAACUGUUAUUGGUGGUAAGGUAGUUGGGGGAUUGGGAACUAGAUGUUGGGAUGAACUGGGUAUUAAUACAUUUGGUUUUUUUCUUAAUUGAGGAAAAAACGUUUCUUUAGGAAAUCGUCUUUCCUCUUCAAAUGAACUAAGUGGUCUAAAACCAUAAUGUCUGGGAGGAAUAAGACCAGUAGGCGGGUAAACGGUUCUUCUGAGGGGGAAAGGAUCAGGACUUCUUAAAGUAGGAUAAUUCUGGGUAUAUGGAUUUGAUAACAAAGGCUGGGAUUGGGACUGGUACUGAGGCUAUUGGGAUUUCAUCCAAAGAUCUCUUUCAAGGCUUUGCAACUGUUUUACCAAAAAAGCUUUUUCUUUUCCUUUUUGACUCAGCAAAUAAGAUCGUUCAUGAAUAUCUUUGACUAUAUACAAAAUUUGCAUCAAUUCUUCAUGCAACAAUUGAAUUUUUUCUUUUAAUUGAACGAUUAUGCCAGACAAUCCUUGCAAUUGAGAAGACAUAACAUUUUGUUUUUCUUCUAUCCGAAGUAGUGCUAAAUUUUGAGAUUUAGCAUUUUCAGCUUGCCAAUUCAGACUGGCUUUUGCUGAAGAAAUGGACUUUUGUACACCAGUAGCAUCUCUAGUAUUGUGAUUCUUAAUUUUCCAUACAUGUUUUUCAUUUUCUUGGAAUUUCUUAGAAUCAUGUAAUUGGGAAAAAUUUGAGGCAUAACUUGAGCUUUGGGGGUCAAAGGCUAAGCAUUAUGGGAAGUGGUUUCUUUCUCUUCCUAGAUCUUUUUGAUCAUCCCAUCCUGUCGGGACGGUAUUCGAAACAGUGUGUUUGGAUUUUGAACAACCAUAUGUUACAUAGUAAUCCCAUUUUUCAGAACUUUCUCCUAGUAACCCAACAGAUGGAUCACCUUCUGUAUAUUUCUGAUGAAGUUUUUGUUGUAAUGAUUUUUUCUUUCUGUUUUUUCUCUUUGAAAAAUCAUCUUCAAGACAAGAAGAGCAAUUACAGGAGUCAAACCAAUUAUGUCUAUCAAAAGUUAUUUGUUCAUAAAUUGGCUUUCCUGUUUUAUCAAAAGCAACAACUGGGACUAUUUCAAGCAAUCCUUGAAAUUGAGUGGGAAAUAUUUCUCUAGUCUGGUUCUCUGUUACUCUUGGAGUCUGAAAAUUUAUCUGUACAGUUCCAUCUGGCAUUCUAACCAUUCAGGAAUCAGAUUGCAUCAAUGGUUGACUUUGAUUUUGAAGAGUUUCAUAAUUUGUCACCCAUGUAGAUGGAAUUAAUUCAAGCAACUUUUCUCGAGAGAUUUGUCUAGAAAUAUAAUGACCGACAAGUUGGGAAUUAUUAUCAACUUUGAUAAACAAGGCUAUAUUUUCUUAAUCAGGGGGUCAAGGAGUGACUUUGUCAAAAGCAUGGUUCUGUAAUCUACACACCAUUUGAUAAUGGAGUGUAGCUACAGUGGCUGUUUUAAUCUGUUUGGUUCCUGUGAUUUGUAACUGGACUUUAAAGGCUGAACUCAAAUGAGGGUCUUUAAUUCGGAUAUUAAAAUUUGGGAAAAAGGUAACGAAUAUAGUUCCUUCAUUCAAAGUUGUUUGCAUAGCUCCAAUACAUCCGUGCUGGUAUUCUAAAAACCUGGAGUGUAGCAAAGCAAUUCGGUAAACUGCUUCCAUACCUUUUCUUCCAUGAAAAGUCAAGGCUAGUUUUAUGGCACCAAAGUGAAUAUGAGUGUAACCAUCUCUAAGCCAUUGAGGGAAUAGGUUGCUAGGUAGGGUAAUGGUAAUGUAUUGUUCAGUUUGGGUGGCAGGUAUUUGGUGUUGGUCAAAAGAAGUGGCUUGAACAUAGUUUUUAAUAGCCUCAGGGUUCUUUUUUCCACAACGUUUGAUUUUUUUGGUCCAAUUUAAACUAGAUCUAUCAUAGACAUGAUAAGGAUUAAUUAACUGAGAAUUGGUUUCAAAAAUGCUUUUCGGGGUAUAAGUUAUUUCAAAAAGAUGAUCUUGUUUUGAAAACAUAGGACGAAAAUUUGUACUAGAAGAAGGGGUACUACCUAUAGAGAUUUCUGAAACAGUAUCUUCUGCCAUUUUAAACCUAUUUUUAAUUGUAAAGCCUUUAGAUGACAUAUUUAUUAUAUUAUAAAUUGAGAUUAAAUUCUAAAAAAUUUAUUAUAUUGGCUGGGUUAAUCUAAAGCUCAUACUGAGAUUAGUAUGCUCUGCGUCUGCCUACCUGGUCUAGGAUCUCUCGCAUCAGAAAACGUGGUAUGAAGUAAAGGUUGAUUUCUAGUGUUGAUGUUAUUCCAUUGUCAAUACUUUCUGAAGGUUAACAUAUCAGGAACUCUGUUGAAGGCGAGGAGGCCAUGGUUGGAGUUCAUAUCUUGUUAAUGAAAAGAAAGUUAGCCUUAUCUUCUUUACAAAAUAUACAGUCAAUAUAGUAAAUUAUUUAAAAAUAGGUUUAAAAUGGCAGAAGAUACUGUUUUAGAAAUCUCUAUAGGUAGUAGUACCCCUUCUAGUACAAAUUUCCGUCCUAUGUUUUCAAAACAAGACCAUCUUUUUAAAAUAACCUAUACCCCAAAAAAAUUUUCUGAAACCAAUUCUUGGUUAAUUAAUCCUUAUCAUGUCUAUAACAUAUCUAGUUUAAAUUGGACCAAAAGAAUCAAAAAGCUGUGUGGAAAAAAGAACCCUGAGGCUAUUAAAGAAUAUGUUCAAGCCACUUCUUUUGACCAACACCAGAUACCUACCACCCAAUCUGAACAAUACAUUACCAUUACCCUACCUAGCAACUUAUUCCCUCAAUGGCUUAGAGAUGGUUACACUCAUAUUCACUUUGGAGCCAUAAAACUAUCUUUGACUUUUCAUGGAAGAAAAGGUAUGGAAGCAGUUUCCCGAAUUGCUUUGCUAGACUCCAGGUUUUUAGAAUACCAGCAUGCAUGUAUUGGAACUGUGCAAACAACUUUGAAUGCAGGAACUAUAUUCGUUACCUUUUUCCCAAAUUUUAAUAUCCCAAUUAAAUACCUUCAUUUGAGUUCAGCCUUUAAAGUCCAGUUACAAAUCACAGGAACCAAGCAGAUUGAAACAGCCAUUGUAGCUACACUCCAUUAUCAAAUGGUGUAUAGAUUACAGAACCAUCCUUUUGACAUAGUCACUCCUUUACCCCCUGAACAAGAAAAUACAGCCUUGUUUAUCAAAGUUGAUAAUAAUUCUCAACCUGACUGUCAUUAUAUUCCUAGACAAAUCUCUAGAGAAAGGUUGCUUGAAUUAAUUCCAUCUACAUGGGUGACAAAUUAUGAAAUUUUUCAAAAUCAAAGUCAACCAUUGAUGCAAUCUGAUUCCUAGAUGGUUAGAAUGCCAGAUGGAACUAUGCAGAUAAUUUUAGGACUCCAAGAGUAACAGAGAACCAGACUAGAGAAAUAUUUCCCACUCAAUUUCAAGGAUUGCUUGAAAAGUCCCAGUUGUCGCUUUCGAUAAAACAGGAAAGCCAAUUUAUGAACAAAUAACUUCUGAUGGACAUAAUUGGUUUGACUCCUGUAAUUGCUCUUCUUGUCUUGAAGAUGAUUUAGAUGAUUUUUCAAAGAGAAAACAAAAAGAAAAAAUCAUCACAACAAAAACUUCAUCAGAAAUAUACAGAAGGUGAUCCAUCUGUUGGGUUACUUGGAGAAAGUUCUGGAAAAUGGGAUUACUAUGUAACAUACGGUUGUUCAAAAUCCAAACACACUGUUUCGAAUACCAUCUCGACAGAAUGGGAUGAUUAAAAAGAUCUAAAAAGAAAAAGAAACCACUUCCCAGAAUGCUUAGCCUUUGAUCCCCAAAGCUCAAGUUAUUGCCUCAAACUUUCCUGCAUUACAUGAUUAUGAGAAACUCCAAGAAAAUGAAAAACAUGUAUGGAAAAGUAAGAAUCCCAAUACUAGAGAUGCUACUGGUGUACGAAAGUCCAUUUCUCCAGCCGAAGUCAGUCUGAAUUAGCAAGCUGAAAAUGCUAAAUCUCAAAAUUUAGGACUACUUUGGAUAGAAGAAAAACAAAAUGUUAUGUCUUCUCAGUUGCUGGGAUUGUCAGGCAUAAUCGUUCAAUUAAAAGAAAAAAUUCAAUUGUUCCAUGAAGAAUUGAUGCAAAUUUUGUAUACAGUCAAAGAUAUUCAUGAACAAUCCUAUUUGCUUAGUCAAAAGGGAAAAGAAAAAGCUUUUUGGUAAAACAGUUGCAAAGCCUUGGAAGAGAUCUUUGGAUGAAAUCCCAAUAGCCUCAGUACCAGUACCAGUCCCAAUCCCAACCUUUGUUAUCAAAUCCAUAUACCCAGACUUAUCCUACUUUAAGAAGUCUUCAUCCUUUUCCCCCAACAAGAACCCUUUACCCGCCUACUGGUCUUAUUCCUCCCAGACAUUAUGGUUUUAGAGCACUUAGUUCAUUUGAAGAGGAAAGACGAUUUCCUAAAGAAAUGUUUUUUCCUCAAUUAAGAAAACCAAAUGUAUCAAUACCCAGUUCAUCCCAACAUCCAAUUCCCAAUCCCCCAACUACCUUACCACCAAUAACAGUUCAACCUCCCACUGAGUCCGAAUUACCAAAACAAGAAACCCAAAUGUCUGAAAAUUCGGAUACUGAAUUAGAUGUUGUAGCCUCUUCUGUCCCUGCUCAAAUAAAUAUCCCCUCUCAAAAUGAUAUGAGUUCAUUUCUCAAAAACUUGACAAACCAGCCUGAAGUUAAUCUUCAAAAUGAAACCCAAUCUUCUGAUGAUAUUACUGAUACAUCUGAAACAUUUAUUGAAGAUAAAUCUUCUUCUUCCAUGGAUUCGGAGAAUUUAUUGAUGAUGAAUCCUCCAGAACCUCCUCAUGAACCUGACCCAGUUAUGAAAGAAGAUCCCAGACCUCCUGACCACCAUGAACCCCAAACUAUCCCUACCAAUGGUGACUCAUCUAAAGGCUUUACAAUUGAUGACAUUCCACCAUCACGAUGAAAUGACAGAUUUAGAGAAAUCCAAGGAUGGAUGCAUUCAGAAAUGCUCAAUCCAGCUAAUACUCUAGCCAGUACAAUUUCUAAAGUUAUUGUAAGAAGAGGAUGCCUUUUUGACUGGUAUAUAAGCCUUGGAGAAUACAGGCAAACACAGUUGAGGAAUAGUCAAUUUAUUGUUGAAUUUCUUAAUUAUUUAGUCUCUGAAUUCUCAGGCACAGUGAAACAUGAACAAAUAGUUGCAAGAGAAGAAUUUUUUCAGCUUAAAUGUUACUCCUUCAAGAGACAAGAUCUUGAAAAACAUUUUUCAGAGAUGAAUAAGAGGUACCAUAAGAUAGGAGGAUGAUGUAAAUUUAAAACAAUUUUAUCUUGAAUCUAUACCUCCUACUCUUGGCAAAGAAGCCACAAAAACAAUGAAAAAUCAAGGACUUACUAUUCAAAACACCAGUUUUGGUGAAUUAUAUCAAUUUGUUCUCCAUGCUUUAGAAAGACUGUGCAAUCAAGUCGAAUUUGUGAAACAAAUGGAAAAAAAUAAGUAUUUAUUGGGAAAAUCUUGCGAUAAACCAUAUCUCAAGAUCAAAUGUGAUUCAGAAAAACAGUGUGCAUGUCCAAUUACUUCAAAAGGAUACAAGAAGCCUGAACAGAGAAGGAGAAAGAAGAAAUUUAAAAGGUUCAAAUAUCUUAAAAGGUCAAGAGUUCGAGGUUUCAAACACAAGAAAGGAGACAGAUAUUAUGUCCGUGGCAAAAAAGGGCAUUUUGGAAAAGAUUGUCCUAAUCAGAAAAAGAAAAAAAAGAUAAUCCACCUCCUGCCACAAGUCUUAGAUGAAGAAAUUGAUGAUGAUCUAGAAUCUGUGUUUUCUCUUGACGAAGAACAGAGUCCAAAAACAUUAUUAUCCAUUGCAUAUUCGGAAGACAAGGAAGUAAAUGAGAUAAGUAACACACAAGACUCUGAUAUACUGUCCCCACAGAAAAAUAUUGCGGACAUAAACAAUUUACCCAUCCAGCCUACCCCAAUAGCCUUGGUCCAAAUUUUACAAGAACACUAUUCAAAACCCUUGACCACACCAGCAUUUUUUGAUAUAGGAACAUCAGCUAGUAUCUUAAAACCUGAUUUACUACCAAAACAGUUUUGGGAAACAUGUAACCAAACUUUUCGGGCAGCUAAUUGAGAGAAAUUUACCAUAAACCAGAUUAGCAAACCCAUUUAGAUAAAAAUUUUUCCAAAACUAGUUAUCCAACACAAACUAUUAGGAUCCUAUUUACCCAACAAAGAACUUUUACUUGGAUUUCAUGUUUUACACCAAGUAAAACUUCAAUGGACCUCCAAAUGAUUACAUUAUAGGAACCUAACCCUACCUUGAAAAGCUUGUAUAGAUCAACCUCACUCCCUGGAAACCAUUCAAUAGAAAAUCUUGUUAGACUGCUAGGCCAAUUCUCACUCCGAGUGUCUCAAAAAAUGUACCAACCAACUUUGGAGAAACCAGAAUUUUUAUGUUAAAUUGCAUUUUAAGAAAAAUGAGGACAUAAAUCGCACAAAGGCUUCGCACAGAGGUUUAAAUCCAGAUCUUUUGGAACAAGCUAAACAAGAAAUGCAAGAUUUGAUAAAGGAACAGUUAAUUGAGCCUACCAGUUCUCCUUGGGCUUGUGAAGCCUUUUAUGUUAAUAAAAGAGCAGAACAAAUUCUAGAAAAGCUUAGAUUAGUGAUCAAUUACCAACCCUUGAAUGCUUUCCUUGCAGAUGAUAAAUUCCCUCUGCCAAAUCAAAUUGCACUAUUCUCUCAGAUUUCUCACGCACACAUAUUUUCUAAAUUUGAUUUAAAAUCUUGAUUUUGGCAAAUAGGAAUUCAUCCAGAUGAUCGUCCUAAAACAACUUUCUGUUUACCAAAUUAUCAUUUUCAAUGGAGAGUCAUGCCUUUUGGUUUGAAAAAUGCACCCACAUAUUUCCAAAAAGUCUUAAGUAACAUUUUUGAACCAAUCUCAACACAGGCGCUAAUAUACAUAGAUGAUAUACUCCUCUUCUCCCCUAAUCUUGAUAGUCAUAUACUUCUGUUAGAAAAAUUCCAUUCCCUCUGCUAUAAAUAUGGAAUUAUGCUCUCUGAAAAGAAAUGUGUCUUUGCUACAACUAAAAUUGAUUUUCUUGGUAUGCAUUUUCAUAAUGGAAUGUAUAAACGUCAGCCUCAUAUUGCAAAACACCUACUAGACUUUCCAGAUAUCUUAUCUUCUGUAAAGCAGAUCCAGUAAUUUUAAGGAAUUGUAAAUUAUAUGUCCCAUUUUUUUCCUAAGCUUUCUCUCUUUACUAGUCCACUCUAUCUUUUAAUAAAGAAAAAACACCACCAAGGACAAGAAAACAAACUGAGUGUGUUCUAGAGCUCAAAAGACUAUCUCAAAAUUUACCUUCUUUGAAAAUCCCAUCUACAGGAAAACGGAUUUUGCAAACAGAUGCUUCAGAUGAAUUUUGGACAUGUAUUUUGCUUGAAGAAAAGGAAAAAGAAGGACGAUUUGUGGAUAUAAAAGUAGAAAAUACAAAGAAUCUGAACUUCAAUACCAUUCUACAUUUAAAGAAAUCCUUGCAGUAAAAAGAGGAAUUGAAAAAUUCCAAUUUCAUCUAAUAGGACAUUCUUUUCUAGUAGAUAUGGAUUUGUCAGCUUUUCCAAAUACGCUCAAGUUCAAAAAUAAGAUUCUUCCAAAUCCACAAUUACUCAGAAGGGCAAGUUGGUUUUCUCAAUGGAAUUUUGAGUAUAAACAUAUUCCUGGAAAAAACAAUAUCUUAGCUGAGAUGUUUCCUCGAAAGAAAUUUUCUGAAGAUACUGUUCUUCAAGUUGUUCCCUUUUUAGGACCAAUAAUCAGAAUAGAAGAUGAAUCCAAAGAUGUUCCUGAUGAAAUAUUUGACAUCAUACUCACCAAGACAAUGAAAGCAAGAAAUGAGAUUAUGCAACAAAAAAUGCAUGAAAUAUUAAUCAGAAAUCAUGGAGAAUGAUUUCAAGGAAUUUGAUGCCAUCCUAUAUAUCCUUUUUUAUCUUUAUUUCAAACCAAACAUUAUUAUAAUAUGCCCAGAUAAGCUCUUUGUUUUUUCUGGUAUCUUACCCAAAACCACCAAAUUUGCUUUAAUUUCCAUACAAGGAAACCAUUAUCCUACCUCGGACACUGUCAUUUCCUACAAUGGAAUAUUUAUAUCCACCCCAAUCCUAAAGCUUUCAACUUUUACAAAUUCCUUUAAAGCAUUACCAUUAUAAUCAAUGGAUUGAAUCUUUCGGUUAUUAUCACAGACCCUAUAUCAUUAUAGCCUUUCACGUAGACCUUCGAUCUCAAAUUUAUCCUGAACAUACUUUCAUUACCCAACACCCUCAUAUGCAGACCAUUGGAUGGUAUGAUUCUAAUCUCCUGAAUUUUUGGUUAUUUCAAACAGAGCUAUGGAAAGAAUUAAAAAUUCUCAUGUGCUACAUUAAUAGAAUCCAGCCAAAAUGGAUUCCUUUGGAUGUCUAUACAGGAACAACAAUAUGGAAUGAUGAGACUCUUCGAGGAGCUGCUCUGCUAAUCCCUAAUUGCAUAUAUGGCUUGCUGAUCACCCUCGUCUUGCUAAAGCACAAACAGACAGCUCCAGUGAUGACACCUAUAUUGGACCCUUACAUAGCCCGUCCAACCAUUCUUCACCAAGUUAUAAUUCUGAUGGCUUACCCUUAGAUUAUGACAUGGAUUAAAGAAUGGAAUGUUUGUUCAAGAUAAGGACGAAUUACUGUUCAAGAUAAGGAAGCAUCUACUUUUCACUAUAGAUGUCGGCCACCUGUCCACUAUUCAUCUACUUUUCACUGUAGAUGUCGACCACUUGUCCACUGUUCACUGUAGAUGUCGGCCACUUGUCCACUGUUCAUCUACUUUUCACUGUACAAAAUGGCCACCUGUAUCGGCCACCUUUUUAUUUCAUUUUUGUUUGAAGAUCGAGUUUCAAAUCCGGUGCCUAUAAAAGGCCUCAUAUGUUGUAUGUGCAGGCAGGGUGCUGCUUAGAGCCCCUCAGCCUAGAUUCCUGCUUUGGUGUGCUUUGUCUUCCUGCUUUCGCUUAUAUCUUUCAGCUUGUAAGCUCUCUAUUAUCUAUUAAUACUGCUUCGGUCUGCUUUAAUUAGAAUUAGAUGUGCAUUUAGAUGUGCAGACUAGAAUUAGAUGUGCAGACUAGAAAACAGAUAAUGAUCAAAGCACACCAAAGCAGUAUUAACAGAUAAUAGAGAGCUUACAAGCUGAAAGACAUAAGCGAAAGCAGGAAGACAAAGCACACCAAAGCAGGAAUCUAGGCUGAGGGGCUCUAAGCAGCACCCUGCCUGCACAUACAACAUAUGAGGCCUUUUAUAGGCACCAGAUUUGAAACCCGGACUUCAAACAAAAAUAAAAUAAAAAGGUGGCCGAUACAGAUGGCCAUUUUGUACAAUGAAAAGUAGAUGAACAGUGGACAGGUGACCAACAUCUGCAGUGAACAGUGGACAGGUGGCCGACAUCUACAGUGAAAAGUAGAUGAAUAGUAGCAGGUGGCCGACAUCUACAGUGAAAAGUAGAUGCUUCCUUAUCUUGAACAGUAAUUCGUCCUUAUCUUAAACAGUAAUUCAUCCUUAUCUUGAACAGUAAUUCCAUUCUUUAAUCCGUGUCAUAAUCUAAAGGUAAGCCAUCAGAAUUAUAACUUGGUGAAGAAUGGUUGGACGGGUUAUGUGAGGGUCCAAUAUAGGUGUCAUCACUGGAGCCGUCUGUCUGUGCUUCAGCAGGAGGAGGGUGAUCAGCAAGCCAUAUAUGCAAUUAGUGUAGCAGGGCAGCUCCUCGAGGAGUCUCAUCAUUUCAUAUUGUUGUUCCUGUAUAGACAUCCAAAGGAAUCCAUUCUGGCUGGAUUCUAUUAAUGUAGCACAUGAGAAUUUUUAAUUCUUUCCAUAGCUCCGUUUGAAAUAACCAACAAUUUAGGAGAUUAGAAUCAUACCAUCCAAUGGUCUGAAUAUGAGGGUGUUGGGUAAUGAAAGUAUGUUCAGGAUAAAUUUGAGAUCGAAGGUCUACGUGAAAGGCUAUAAUGAUAUAGCGUCUGUGAUAAUAACCGAAAGAUUCAAUCCAUUGAUUAUAAUGGUAAUGCUUUAAAAAGAAUUUGUAAAAGUUGAAAGCUCUAGGAUUGGGGUGGAUAUAAUUAUUCCAUUGUAGGAAAUGACAGUGUCCGAGGUAGGAUAAUAGUUUCCUUGUAUGGAAAUUAAAGCAAAUAUGGUGGUUUUGGGUAAGAUACCAGAAAAAACAAAGAGCUUCUAUA
rnacentral:lncRNA from 1 species